rnacentral:rRNA from 1 species
CGAAAGCCUGACGGAGCAACGCCGCGUGCGGGAGGAAGGCCUUAGGGUUGUAAACCGCUUUUCUCAAGGAAGAACAGAAUGACGGUACUUGAGGAAUCAGCCUCGGCUAACUUCGUGCCAGCAGCCGCGGUAAUACGAAGGAGGCAAGCGUUAUCCGGAAUUAUUGGGCGUAAAGCGUCCGUAGGCGGUUGAGCAAGUCUGUCGUCAAAGCGUGAGGCUUAACCUCAUACAGGCGAUGGAAACUGUUUGACUAGAGUGCAGUAGGGGUAGCGGGAACUCCCGGUGUAGCGGUGAAAUGCGUAGAUAUCGGGAAGAACACCAGAGGCGAAGGCGCGCUACUGGGCUGCAACUGACGCUGAUGGACGAAAGCUAGGGGAGCG